CAUCUGGUGUAAUAGUGGAGGGAGAUUCAGUGACUCUGAGCUGCAGCAGUGAUUCAAACCCUCCUGCAGAAAUCAGCUGGUUUAAAGGAGGAACGUUUGUAGGAUCUGGAAGAAUCUACAGCAUCUCAAAGAUCAGCACUGAUCACAGUGGAGAAUACAAGUGCAAGUCCAGAAAUAAACAUGGAGAGAAAGACUCUGAUGCUGUGACUUUAAUCUUCAUGUCAGUCAGAUGUUUGUCGUCUGUUGCUACUGGUGUUGCUGUUGGUGUUUUACUCGGUGGAGCAACAGGUGCUUUUAUGAUGUACAUUUGUCUUACUAAAAGGAUGAACAGAAGAUCUGCUAUGAAGAAGUCUGCGGUCUCUGAUCCCAAUGAAGACACAUAUACUGCUCUUGAGCUCAAGUCCAUGACCUCUGACCUCUACGACACACUCACAACCGUUCGUCCCAGACCUCCUGAAGACUCUUGAUCCUAAACAUGAGAAUCCAUCAGUAAGUGUCUGAACUGCAGCUCUUCUUAGUAUAAUCAGUAAAACUCUCUUCAGUUCUAGUUUGAUUGUUUUAUGUAGCUUGUGAAUGGUUUUAUAAUAUUGUUGAGGAACUUCAGUCAUUCUUUCUUCAUCUUAUUAUUUGUUCAGAUCAACAGAAGAUGCUGCAGUGAGAGGCGGAGCACAAAUGGACAAAUGUUGCGCUAUGUUGGCGGAGCCACAUAUGAUUGACAGGUGCCAUUAGUGAACAUGAGCCACUAAGACCUUUAUAACUUUAUAGUUUAUAGGAAAGAUGAUGUAAAAGUGAAAUUAAAUAAUUUGAAUGUAUAGAAAUAUAUAUGUUAAAGAAGCUCACUGUUUUAACAUUUUAAAAUAUAUUUUCCUGCAAUAUUUCAACUGCGCACCUUCACAAUGGAAAAUGUAUUGUUUUAUGGUGUCAAGGUGCUCAGUAUUAUCAGCUUCUGUUAUUCUGUCUUUUGUUUUUCUGUAACUUUCCCUUUAAGUGAUCAGUUUUAUUUGUGAUCAUCUCAUAUGUUUAUACAAACCUUCAAAUUACCACCAGAGGUCACCAUCUCCUGCUCCUGACAUCAACACUGACGUGCAUCAGCUGUAAAUCAUCAUCAUGCAUCUUCAUGUGUAUAAUAUUUUAUCAUGUACUGUGUUUAAAGUCAUUAAUAUGUUUGUAUUAUAAUUCCUAAUGCAUACGUUCAGCAUCUGCUUUGGUUUCUUCAAUCUCUGUUUGCUGUAAUAGCGGCUCUUUACGUCAUUAUUAUUUGUAAGUGUUUGCUUGUAUUUCCUACUGCAGGACUCAUUUUUAUUUCGAAAAUUUAAAUGACAUCUAAAUGCGUUAUUUGAAUAUCAGUUCUGAUUGGUCAGUUUUGUAAUGAGAGGAGUUAAUUCCAUCAGCUCUGGCAUUCCUGAAAUAAUUAAAACUCAUUUGAGCUACAGCAAAUGAAAGAAAAGUUAAAUAAAAUUACUCCUUUCUGCA
ensembl:lncRNA